rnacentral:ncRNA from 1 species
CAUUGGCGAGAAUCCAAUGCCCCGAAAACAUAAGGGUUCCUCCGCAAGGUUCAUCCACAGAGGGUUAUUCAGGGCCUAAGAUCAGGCUGAAAGGCGUAGUCGAUGGACAACAGGUUAAUAUUCUUGUACUACCCUUUGUUGAUCCCGAGGGACGGAGGAGGCUACAAAGUUAAAGUAAUUAAAGAGAGAGAUAGGAAUACAAAUAGACAAAGUUAUUUGUAUUCUUAUCUCUCUCUUUAAUUACUUUAACUUUGUCUAAUUUAUCUCUUUUUUUUAAUAACCUUGACUUUGACCAAAAAAAUCUCCCCAUAAUUAUUAUCUCCUUCCUUUUCAUAUCAUUUUCCUAGUUG